rnacentral:lncRNA from 1 species
CAGCACAUCAGGCAAAUAGAGGCCCCUUCCCCGGCUGGGGUCCUACUCUGUAGAUCGGUGUGUCAGGCACUUAAAGGGGCACCCUGGGCAGGGUCCUACUCUGUAGUUCAGUGCGUCCCAAGUUUCAUGGGCCAGCCUCUCUAUUGUUCAGCUGCCAAUGCUGGUGUGUGGGGAGAGAGAGGCUAAGAUCUGUUCUUCAGAGGCAACCACUUUUGAACAGCUUAUUAGCAAGACAAUGAUGAUGACAAAGACAUCAAAAAUAUAAAGGAAAGGGAGAAAGAGAAGAAUGAAGAGGAAGAACUGGGGAAGGAUGGAAAGAGCUAGCCUAUGAACCUUUACCAGGCACCAGGCAUAAUUUUCAAGUAAUCUUCACACCAUCAGAGGUAUAUGGUGGUACAGCCCUUAUUUUACAGAUUAAAAACAUAUAGAAAGAGUAAAUAAGUGGCUCAAGUUUGUACUUAAAGUGCCAGGAUUAAAGUCUGGUGGUCUGGCUCCACAAUCUGUGUUUUUACACAACAA